rnacentral:rRNA from 1 species
GACGAACGCUGGCGGCGUGCUUAACACAUGCAAGUCGAACGGAAAGGCCCUGCUUUUGUGGGGUGCUCGAGUGGCGAACGGGUGAGUAACACGUGAGUAACCUGCCCUUGACUUUGGGAUAACUUCAGGAAACUGGGGCUAAUACCGGAUAGGAGCUCCUGCUGCAUGGUGGGGGUUGGAAAGUUUCGGCGGUUGGGGAUGGACUAGCGGCUUAUCAGCUUGUUGGUGGGGUAGUGGCUCACCAAGGCUUUGACGGGUAGCCGGCCUGAGAGGGUGACCGGCCACAUUGGGACUGAGAUACGGCCCAGACUCCUACGGGAGGCAGCAGUGGGGAAUAUUGCACAAUGGGCGGAAGCCUGAUGCAGCAACGCCGCGUGCGGGAUGACGGCCUUCGGGUUGUAAACCGCUUUCGCCUGUGACGAAGCGUGAGUGACGGUAAUGGGUAAAGAAGCACCGGCUAACUACGUG